AUUAGAGGGGGAUAACAUUCGGAAACGGAUGCUAAUACCGCAUAGUUUCAGGAUCGCAUGAUUCUUGAAGGAAAGGUGGCUUCGGCUACCACUAAUGGAUGGACCCACGGCGUAUUAGCUAGUUGGUGAGGUAAUGGCUCACCAAGGCAAUGAUACGUAGCCGACCUGAGAGGGUCAUCGGCCACACUGGGACUGAGACACGGCCCAGACUCCUACGGGAGGCAGCAGUAGGGAAUCUUCCGCAAUGGACGAAAGUCUGACGGAGCAACGCCGCGUGAGUGAAGAAGGUUUUCGGAUCGUAAAACUCUGUUGUUAAAGAAGAACAAGGAUGAGAGUAACUGCUCAUCACCUGACGGUAUUUAACCAGAAAGCCACGGCUAACUACGUGCCAGCAGCCGCGGUAAUACGUAGGUGGCUAG
rnacentral:rRNA from 1 species